rnacentral:rRNA from 1 species
GAUGAACGCUGGCGGCGUGCUUAACACAUGCAAGUCGAACGAGAAAUGGAGACGGAAACCUUCGGGCGGAAGGCUUCAUUUCGAGUGGCGGACGGGUGAGUAACGCGUGGGUAACCUGCCUCAUACAGGGGGAUAACAGUUGGAAACGACUGUUAAUACCGCAUAAGACCACAGCACCGCAUGGUGCGGGGGUAAAAACUCCGGUGGUAUGAGAUGGACCCGCGUUCGAUUAGCCAGUUGGCGGGGUAACGGCCCACCAAAGCGACGAUCGGAAGCCGAUCUGAGAGGAUGCCCGGCCCCAUGGGGACUGGGACCCGGCCCAAACUCCAGCGGGAGGCAGCAGUGGGGAAUAUUGAACAAGGGGGGAACCCCGGAGGCAGCGGCGCCGGGGGAGUGAAGAAGUACUUCGGUAUGAAAAGCUCUAACAGCAGGGAAGAAAAUGCCGGUACCGGAGAAAAAAGCCCGGCCUAACUACGG